rnacentral:lncRNA from 1 species
CAUCACAUUGAGAGCAUAAUGUUGCACUUAGAGCAUUUUAAGACAAAGGACAUUUUCUGGAGGUCUACCCAUAAACCUGCUACAUGGAUUUUCAGUUCAUGUGAUUUUACUUGAUGAGUUUCAUGUGUUUCUUUAAUUUUGAUCUUCUGUCACUGUUUGUUUUACAGAAUUUGGAGUUGGUUUUUCACUUGCAUGAAUUGAAGCAAUUUCUGUGACUGUAAACAGAGAAACAAGGGCAUCAUUCCUGCAUUUUGGAGAGCUAUGUGAUCACUAUCUGACGCCAUUGCUGAGCACAAAAUUCCAAUGACUGAGGUUAACAUUCUAAGGAAACGGACGCCAGGUGGGUCUGUCACCCUGAAAGACCAGCAUUCAUCAAGUGCCACCAAAAAUGAUGACCUUCCCUCUACAUCAGAUUCCUCCAAACGAAUGAAAAUGGAGUCGGAAGAAAUGGAGGAAAGUGACACGAACAGUGGCAGAUUGGACACAAGUUGUGAUUACACUAAUGAGUCACAAAUUGAAGAAGAGCCAAUAUCAGAGGAAUCAUUUAUUGUCGUGCAUUUAGACAUUGAAGAACCAUUGUAUAAAUUGAGGAGAUUAGUGGAAGAAAAAGUCAGUGUGAGCCUCUCUGACUGUGGAAUUUGGCUUCUAGAUAAUCAGCAACUAGACGAUGAAAAGAAUUUAGUGGAGCAAGGUGUAGAAGGAGAUGGAAUGGUACAAAUGCAUGUUGAAUUAAAACUUGAGGAUGAAGUAAAAAAAUAAAUAUAAUAGAUGUUUUGAAGCCUGCUGAAGAAUAUCUGAACAUGGAUAAUGGUCAGUUACUUUUAAUUGGGAAUAAUAUGUUUUUAGAUUUUUUAUCAUACUAUUUAAACAUUCUAACUGACACUUACCUACUUUCAAACAUCAUUCAAUGAUUACCCAGAGUAUAUUUUUAGAUCACCAUCAUCUACAAUAAGGUGACAAGCUCUAGAAAAGUUGGAGAGAACCCAGAAAAAAGUAAAAGUACAGUAAAUUUUGCUGUCAAACCUUUAAUUUGUGUGCCUAGUCGAAACCAUGGUUUGCACCAUUGUACUUAAAUCUUACAGUAAACUUGUCUUCUGAAAAUAAUUUUCUGUCCAAUACCCUUGGAAGAUCAGGAAACAGUUAGGAUAUGUGUAUUGUAAAACCUUGUACAGUCAAGGAGACGUUACUAGUUAGUAAAUUGUCGGAGAGACAGGAUAUAUCAAAAUUCAGGAGAAAUUUUGAACUGUAAAAAAACUCUAUCUUUGCUCUAAACUUUACUUAGUAUUUAUUAUACCCAUGUAUCACAUUGUACUGAAGCCGAAUGUGCUGGUGACAGUCCCCCCCCCCUUCACACGCUUCUUUCUAAACCCAUCUGCCCACCGGGAAUUUUUCUGUUCUUCCCUGUGGCCAGUCUACCUUUGUGUAAAACUUUCUUCCUACUCAAGUCUGAGAGUAACAUUUUCUAAAAUUUUAUUGCAUUUGACUCGAUGUCCUCAUGCUUGAAGAUUAUCACCUUUUUGUUUUUUCGACCAAAAAGUUCCAAGUUCAGUUAGCUCUUCCACAUAAUUUUUGAAACACUCUGAUGGCUCAUUCAAUGAUUACCAGACCUUAGACCGCUUCUUAAUCAUAAAUCAUCUUAAGAGUAUGAAUUGGACUACAUUUUUCUAUGAGGAACUUCAAUAUUUAGUUCAACUGUAAAAAUGUUUAAGUGCUUUGAGAAACCAAUAGCACAUAGGUUAUUUCCAAUCUGAGCCACAUAUCGCAGUUCAUAAUUGCAAAAUUUAAUCCAAUUAUGUUGUAAGACUGUUGAUUUUUAGGUUCUCAUAGGAUCUGAUGACAUAGAUGAAGCAAGCAAUUCAGAUUUAGAAGGCGUGGAGGAUAAGAUCAAGAAGUUGUUCGCUGGGUAGUAGAUC